UCAAGAAUACAUAACCAAACAAGAAGUAACAAGUCAAGAAACAGAAACGCAGUACCUGCGUGAUUAACUUUAUUACUCUGUGAAAAUUGACCAGUAAAUUUUAUUUGCCUGGAUUUAUAUAUAUAUUUAGAUAUAUAAACAUAUAUUAUAGCCUAUAUAUUUUAUGUUAUUAAACAAUACAAAGUCUACAGAUUUCAUAGAGCAAUAUCAACAUUAAACUGACAUGAAAAAACACGUGCUUGCAGUGUUGCAAAAUACAACAUUUUUGAAUUCAGUUUUUCAAUUCUGUCAAGUACACUUGAAAAAGCAGCCAUUCAGUCAUUGGUAACGCCAAAAGGUUUUCUUGUAAACUAAAAGAAUGAAUUCGACGAUUCAAAAGCUGGCUCUAUCUUUCUUCGGUAUAGGGAUCUGGUGCUAUGCACUUUUCACGUCUAUGGAACUGAAGACUUUGUAAAAUGCUGCAUUGUUGAUAAUGUCAUCAAUUCAAGGAUUUAUUUUGGUGCUUGAGUGAGCUGGGGAUAACCUGUAACUUCUCUUGAAGCCUAUAAUUUUGGACAGAAACGUCCAAGUUUGAGAUAAUAGGAGGUUGAGGGACCGGAUGAACAUCACCUGUCGGCCAAUGAUUUCCGAAGCGCAGAUUCACCGAUCAAUUGGUCUCCACCAACAAUUCAGAGCACUAUUGCUGCCUUCCACUGCUACAGAACGGCUAUAAAGAGAGGGUUCAAUAAAGACGUGAUACAAUUGGCAUUGAAGUGUACUUUUCCACGGCUGCAACCGCUGCAAGCUGCGUCCCUCAGGACUCCGAGGUCGUGGCCGAAAUAAAAUCACACUACUGCAAUAUUCAGAUGACUGGUUGUCAGCAUGCAAGGAACUGACAAAGAAGAGGAUCUUAAAAAUGGUGACGACAUGCAUCAAAUAGCAACCGAAGGAAAAGGCAUCAAAUAGCAACUACUGUUAUUGGAAAAGCUCUCAUUCAUUCAGAGGACACACUCUCACAGACAUGCGCCAAAGCACACCUGACACAACGACGACGGCCUUUAGCCGCAAUUGGUAGAUGAUCACCAAUAUUCAGCAUUGUCCUGGAUUUUUUAGAUCGAGGCCCUCUGGAACUGCUGAGCUUGCGUGAUACUUUAGCAGUCUGACGACCUGUGAGAACCAGCUGUUCAGCUAGUUCCACUAAGUAUUGCAGGAACUUCACUUUCUUC
rnacentral:lncRNA from 1 species